rnacentral:rRNA from 1 species
GACGAACGCUGGCGGCGUGCCUAAUACAUGCAAGUAGAACGCACAGGAUGCACCGUAGUUUACUACACCGUAUUCUGUGAGUUGCGAACGGGUGAGUAACGCGUAGGUAACCUGCCUGGUAGCGGGGGAUAACUAUUGGAAACGAUAGCUAAUACCGCAUAAGAACAUUUACUGCAUGGUAGAUGUUUAAAAGGUGCAAAUGCAUCACUACCAGAUGGACCUGCGUUGUAUUAGCUAGUAGGUGAGGUAACGGCUCACCUAGGCGACGAUACAUAGCCGACCUGAGAGGGUGAUCGGCCACACUGGGACUGAGACACGGCCCAGACUCCUACGGGAGGCAGCAGUAGGGAAUCUUCGGCAAUGGGGGGAACCCUGACCGAGCAACGCCGCGUGAGUGAAGAAGGUUUUCGGAUCGUAAAGCUCUGUUGUUAAGGAAGAACGAGUGUGAGAAUGGAAAGUUCAUACUGA